GAGAACGAAAGCAAGACCCACUGGUUUUGAGUGUGUUUUUCUGUUUCACCAUUUGGUAUCCUUGAAUUGACACAGAUACUGGGAAACACAAAGUGUUGGCCAUAGCAGAGGCUCCCAGCACUCUGGGGGAAAGAAGAGCCUGGAGUUGCUUAUUCCUACAUCUCCCACUGACCCACUGACUAGCAGGGUGACUGUCUUUCUUGAUCUCAGAUGCCCACUUGAAAAAAGAACAGUAAAAAUACAGCCCGUACCCAUGUGUGAACAGGCUGCUGAUGAGGUCUUCCCUCCUCAUGUCUAGGCCUUCGGACUGCAGGCCUUCUCUCCUAGGGGUCUUUUCCCACCCCCACACUCAGGAGCGUGUACAGAUGUUCCCUCUUCCUCCAAGAAAGUGUACCUGAAAUAUGCCAUACGUGUGCCCAGGAGCCACAGCCACAAGCAGGGACAUCUCAACCUCAGGACCUCUGCAUGGCAUCAUCAAGGAGCCAGAGACCCAGAAAGCCUGGAUGCCAAAGGUCACGUGGAGGUAAACAGGAAGCAUAGAACCCCAGGUGCUGUCAGGAGCUACCUGACAACCACAUGGGAAAUCAUUCCGAAGGUGAAACUGCCACAGAGAGCGAGAGACACAGCCCCGGUGACUUUAUCAACCUCUGGAACAAACUAGCCUGAAGCCCUUCCUAUCUCUUGACUUUACAGGUCACAUAGCACCAGAGCUCAGCAUCUUCAGCUUCUCAAUAAAUAAGAGAGUGCAUGAAAAGCAGCAAUAUACAGGUAAUCCUUAAAAAGGAAAGCUUCUCCCUUCUUCCCUUUCCUGUUGCAGUCAAAGCAAUUUCACCUACACCAUCAAAAGAUGGAUUUCUAGAUUGCUCAUGGAGAAAUAUACUUGUUAGCCUGGACUGUUUGGGGCUUUUUCAAAUAGUUGCAUGCCUUGGGAGAUACGAUUGAUAGAAGAUGUGGCACACGAACCAUUUGGAGUACAGAGAGGCACUGGAACACUAGCUACUGGGUUGAGUUGAAAACUGAGAACCGGUUUAGUUAAGAUUUUAUUAAUUACUUUUCCAUGAUUCCACUUGCUGCUUGGGACUCGCAUAAGCAAGGAUAGAGAAUCCAAUGGAAAGGCAUUUUCAUGGGUUGGAAAGCAAAUCUCUCCUCCACAGUGUGAUUCAGGGACCCAGGUGCCUCCCGCUUGGUGGCUCUCCUCAACCCCAGCUGGAGUCCCUGUGGGACACAGGGAGCUCAGGAGCUUCCAUAAACAGGGAUGGGAAAGACAGACACCUUCAUUUUCACUCGCCUCUAACUGACAUAUAGCUUUGGUUCUAUUAUGAAUGCCGGAAACAGACGGCAGUAGUAUUAGCAGCCCCCGUGAACUUUCUGGCUGUGGAAAUCAGAUACUUUCUCAUCACAUUUCUGCUGUGGAUAUCAUGAAACUUUGUCUACUUUCAUUUGAAAUUGCAGUAGCUACUACAUCCUGUUACUGAAUGCACUGGUAAAGUGCACGCAUGUUUAUAUGUUGCUCCAUAUGUUUGUAUAUAUUUCAGUGUCAUCAAUUUCCUUUCUGCUCCUACAUAGUUCUCAGAUUUAAAAGCAUUGUUCUGAUAAAGUUCCAGAGACUUCACCAGAUGUUGAAGGGUCCAGGGCCUAAUAAAAUUAAUACGCCAUACCCUGGGGGCUUGUUCUGCACAUCUGCCAGUGAGAAGGAAAGGAGGGGGAGAUGUCACCUCCAUAACACAAGCCUUGGCUGAGAUGUGACAUGCACCACCCUCACUCAAACCUCCUCCAAGUGCCUGUCACCAGGGGGACACGGGGGCCAGGACAUGGAGUGGUCGAGUGGGCAGCACCUGGCUGUGUGCUGUGGGAGCACUCUGCUUUCAACGGCAGGAAGGGAAUGGGUUGGGGUGGGGGCGGGGUAGUGGGAGGCCCCUGUUACCAGUGCUAAGAGCCAGGACUGUUACAAGAUUCAAAAGAGACCACCCAUGCAAUGCCUUUCCCUGGGCCUAAACACACUUAUUAUUAUUACUGUGUAAUUGUUAUGCCCUAGUAUGUCUGUUUCCCUGUGGGUUUCCCCCAGAGACUGUGAACUACUUGAAGCAAAGGGCUGUGUCUGAUUCAUCUCAUUAUUUCCAGCUUUGACCACAGGGUCAUCGUUGUUCAUUUGUCCCAAUAUUUGUGGGAUUCCACUGGGAACAAAGUGAAUUGGGACAAGUGAAUAAUGAUGACAUACAGUUGUUUUUCUGACACUUCUGCCCCCAGGAAAACAAGGCAAAAGGCCUGUGACUCUGUCUUCAGGCAGUGGGACAUGUUCUUAAACGACGGAGCCACAUCCAUGCCUCUACCUUCCAGUAAGGUUUGCCUGCUUAAGCAUACUUGUUGAAAAUCAAUUGCACAUGAACCCUCACAUGUACACGUGUGCACACACAGAUGCAUGCACACACAUACACACAUGCACACACCAGCCAGACACUGCCUCUUUCCUUCUCCGACUCCCACCCUGCCUCCAAGAGGAAUAUUUAUGAUUUUUAAUAAACUGUGACCACAGCUAAUUAGGCUCCUCACCCAUGCCCCCAAGGCCACUAAGGGGCUGUGACGGUUGGCAUUUCCUAUCUCCAAGUGCAACGAGGCCGCACAUGCCACACUGAUGAACUCACGGUGUAGCAGACUCCAUCCCUGCCGUCUGGGAGAAUGCUCGUCUUUCAAACCAGAUUAAAAGAAAACAAGAGCUGGGCCCAUCCCAGCAUCAUGAGCCCAGAAUUAUGCACUUCACUGAAGUAGGAAUGUGGCCCAUUCAUUACUGUGUGUCAUCAAUUAAUGACUAUGUGAAAUACGGCCCCCAGGGUGUGCUGAUCCCCCCAGAGGGUGGCGGGAGGGACUGCUGUGUGCUGCUGAGCUGGUUUAACUCCCCCGGCACGGAGAAGGAUCUCCUGCCUGUGUGCCUUAGAGCUGCGUUUUGGGAGAGGAGCAGGGAGGUCCCCAAAGGGCGUGGGCAUCUGGGGAGAGAAAAGCUGCUGUGGUUCAUUUCCUGAACUCAGUGGGCAGCAACAUGGAGUGGCCUGCCUCACCCAGGGGACCAGGCCAAUGUGUUACAUGCAAUUUAGUGACAGGUAUUAGUCGCUCCCGGGCAGCGACUGAACCAUCCUGGCUCAUUAACUCCAAGGACUGACGUGGCCAGCAGGGAGGAGAGGACUGGAGGGUCAGCAGUCAGCCUAGUCCCUUGCAGUGGCUGAAGGGAUCCCAUCUUCAAGAGACAUUCGCAGGCCUGAUGCUUCUCUGUGUGAGAGGGAGGGGAACUGAGGGUGAGGGCGAAUCCUUGAUCUCAUUCCUGCUAUGGUGCUGGUGUACAUGGAGCCAGGCUGCUGGGCUGAGUGCCAUGGCCGCAUGCACCAGCCAAGGGACCAGGGCAGUGGCUUUGUAGCCUGUGUGUGUCUCCACUUCCUCCCCAUGGAAUAGAGAUGACCAAGGUGGAUCCCUGGCUCUAGGGUUGCUGGAAGCAUCAGAUGCACUCAUUGGUGCACAUGCUUAGAGCCAGCACAGGCACUAGAAGGAAUGUAAGGGCCCGUUUUUAUCAGGGAUAUGCUUGCAAAACCAUCUGUGCCACAGAGACUAUAGGUGAAAAACAGGUGUGAAAAUCCUGAUGACCCAGCUUCCUUUAAACUUUUUCUAAAGUUAUACUGAUUCUUCACAAGGGAUGUAUUGGUCAAGGUUCUCCAGAGAAACAGCUCCAACAGGAUAGACAGGCAUGUAUACUGGAGGACAUUCGUUAUGGGAAUUGGCUACUAAUUUUUCAUAAUGGAUGUAUUGGGCAAGGUUCUCCAGAGAAACAGCUCCAACAGGAUAGACAGGCAUGUAUAUCGGAGGACAUUCAUUAUGGGAAUUGGCUCAGGCGAUGGUGAAGGCCAAGGAGUCCUACAAUCUGCUAUAAGCAAGCUGGAGAAUGGGAAAGUGAGUGGCGCAAUUCAGUUCAAGUCUGAAGGCCUGAGAGCCAGGAGGGCCAAUGGUGCAGCUCCCAGCCCAGGGCCGAGGUCUGAAACCAGGGAUGGGAUACUGGAGUAAGUCCAGGGAUCCAAAGGCCCACAAACCAGGAGCACUGAUGUCUGAGGGCAGCACAAGACAGAUGUCCCAGGCCUGAAGAGAGAAGGAACUCGCCCUUUCUCUGCCUUUUUGUUUUAUCCAGGCCCUCAGGGGAUCGGAUGGGGACCACCUACUUUGGGGAAGAGUGUUCUUUUUACUCAGGCUACUGAUUGUGAUGCCCAUCUCUUCCAGAAACACCCUCACAGACACACCCAGAAAUCGUGUAAUCCCAGCUACAUGGGCAUCCUUUAGCCCAGUCAAAUUGACAUACGAAAUUCACCAUCACGAGCCCACCCUUCAUCAACCUGGCACCCAUGUGCAUCUCCUUAGAUCACACUCCAUCAUCUCCAAAUAAAGACAAAAUAAGGUGUGAAUCCACCUAACAUCAAACAGCUCUCCUGCAUACAACCGGAAACACACCAGCCUCUUCCCCAGAGAGGAGAUUAAGACCCUGAGUGUUCACUCCCGACAUCUUAUAACUUAACACGAUGAUGUCAAAUUAACAAUACUGCAAUACUGAUAGAAAGCCAAUUCAUCUUAUGUUACAUGAUAAAGAAAUAUGAGAGGAAAGAAAACAAAGACAUUUGCUGAAUGUGUACAUUUACACACAUGUAUUCAUAGGAAGAAGAAGGAAAUGCUCUUGUCAGGUGGCAAAUGCUGUGUAUGAUAUUCUGAUUUCCAAAGGGUAAAUUUGAACAUUUUGUUUUUUAACCUGUUGAGAGUAUGUUUUGUGCUGUCUUUACAAUGUAUUGAAGUAUCUGUUUUCCUGGC